CCCUAUUUGCAUGGCAGCCCCUCCUCUGGAAGAGGCUGGGAGAGAAAAGGAGGCCUGAGGCAGCCCAGCCCCACUGAGGGGACCAGGAAGCUGUGAGCACCAUGGCCUGGACUCCUCUCCUGCUCAUGCUCCUCUCUCUCUGCACAGGCUCCCAGCCUGUGCUGACCCAGCCCGCCUCCCUGUCCGAGUCUCCGGGAGCAUCAGCCAGACUCUCCUGCACCCUGAGCAGCGGCUACAGUGUUGGCAGCUAUACUGUAUACUGGUAUCAGCAGAAGGCAGGGAGCCCACCCCAGUACCUGCUGAGGUUCAAGUCAGACUCGGAUAAGCACCAGGGUUCCGGGGUCCCCAGCCGCUUCUCUGGAUCCAAAGAUGCCUCCACCAACGCGGGGCUCCUGCUCAUCUCUGGGCUGCAGCCCGAGGACGAGGCCGAUUAUUACUGUGCUGUGUGGCAUGGCGGCAGUAAUGUUUACACGGCGCUUCAGACCAGCGAGGAAGUGAGACAAAAACCUCCACUCAUGCCUGCUCGUGGCUCGGAUGAAGUCUAGUUCAGGGGAUGACUUCCAACUGUCAGAUGUUAGACAAGGAACUGAUUUUCCUCGAGCCAGCAGAUUUGAUAAUAUUGUAUCUUUUGCUUCAAUUCAGCUUUUAGAUUGCUAAGAUAGUUUUAUCCAAUGCCGGUUUUCUUGGGCAAACAUUACUUGUUCAGAGAUAAAAACUUUUCGAUGGAGACACUGGCUGAGCCCAGAAGAGGUGGUUUCAGGCCAGGCCCAGCUCAGGGUCAAGCAGUCAAUAAGACAGGCUUCUGUGAGUGUUUCACUUGGGAUUUUGUGAUAUAAAAGUCAACAUGCAGAAGUGAAUUGUAUUUUGUAGUUCACUUUUCACUUUCAUGCAUUGGAGAAGGAAAUGGCAACCCACUCCAGUAUUCUUGCCUGGAGAAUCCCAGGGAUGGGGGAGCCUGGUGGGCUGCCAUCUAUGGGGCCGCAUAGAGACAGACACGACUGAAGUGACUUAGCAGUAGCAGCAGCAAUGAAUCUCCAGUUUCUAAAAAUAAAGCCACUAACACGUAUGAUACGAUCAAUAUAAAACACUUGAAGAUAAAUCUGAGGAAGAUCAGAAGUCUGUGCGCUGAAAACAACAAGCAUGCAAGAGAAAUUAAAGGCACAGUGAACAGGGACUCCUGGUCUUCAGUUCAAAACACUGAGUGUAACUUAGAUAACAGUCAUGAAAAGUAGCACAGCAUCGUAAAGCAACUUGUUCAGUCGCUAAGUCGUGUCUGACCCCAUGGACUGCAACACACCAGGCUUCCCUGUCCUUCACCAUCCUGGAGUUUGCCAAGUUCAAGUCCAUUGGAUCCGUGAUGCCAUCCAACCAUCUCAACCUCUGUCAUCGCCUUCUCCUCCUGCCCUCAAUCUUUCCUAGCAAAAGAUGUUUUCCAAUGAGUCGUAAAUAUGAGAUUACACUGAAAAUUAAUGACAAUGUUAAUUAAUGAAAAUUAAUGAGAAUUGUUCAAGUCCACAAUUAUCAAAAAUAGUAUAUAACUUUAAAAUUAUAUAAAUUUAAAAGUAGUUCAAACUGUGUGUUAUUCUGGUCCCAGUAAUAAAAAAACAUAA